UAUGUGAAAUACUUGUUACUUUUGUUGGGUGUAUUGGUGAUACUUAUGUGGUGAGAUAAGUCUUAACUUGGACUUGAGAGCAGUUACAAUAUGACGUGGGGUAUAGUGAUGUUGAUCUUGAUGCAGUAAUUCUAAAUAAGUCAAUUUGAAAUCCACCACUCAGUGUAGGCCUCUUUGAGAGUUAUCUUAGUUAACCAAGUAAUUGGAACGACAUUGUUAUUUUCGACCUGAGAAUCUGAGAAGUUGGAGACCAUUAGAUUUCAUUUAUCCCUCUUGACCUUUUUAGGAUGUAGUGCAGAAACUAUGAAGGAGUAAUCCUAAAAUAGUUGUUAUGCAUACUAUACUUAUAGUGACUGUAUUCGCUUGUUUACUAUAUUAUUGCAAGUUUACCAUUUUGGCUUGUUAGGCAUUAGUUAAAGAAAUUAUGAUGUAAAUUCUGGAAAAUUACCUAAUUCUCUUGAUUACCAUAUUGUUACAAGUGAGCCUGAUGUAUAUUCUACAGAAUUAUCUAAUUUGCUUGCUUACCAUCAUGCUUCAAGUGAGUCUAAUGUAUAUUAUGGAGAAUUGCCUAAUUUUCUUGUUCACCAUCAUACUGCAAAUUUGUCUGACGUAAAUUUUGGAGAAUAAUCUAAUUUAUUUGUUUACUAUUAUGCUGCAAAAGAGUCUGAUGUAAAAAUAAAUAUAUAUUUAAAGUUGUACCAUUUUUAUUUUAUUUUCUGAAUUGCUUAAUGAAAAGAGAAUCAAAUUAUAAACCUACCGCACUUAAAUUACUUGGAGAGAAAAACGUGCGAUGCACGGGUGUAGUUGAUUUAUAAACAUCCUUUAAAAUUAGGCUUAAUAACACUUUUUGUCCUCGUAUUUUGAUCAACUCACGAAUCUGGUCCUUCAUUUUUAAAACAAAACAAAGCAGCCCCUGUACUUGCCUAAAGUGUGUAAAACUGAUCCUAACCCCCAUUUUCACUCAAAAAAGCUGAUGUGGUCAGAUGUUUAAUGAAGUGGCAUUGCAUAUGUGGAAAUUUAAAUUAUUAAUUCAUUAAAAUAAUUGAUUGUAAUUAAUGUUUUAAUUCACAAGUAAAAUAUCAACCCUAAUCUCCUCAAAUAGAAUCAGUGUGCUAGUGUUCCUCGUCUGACCCUUCUUGUUCCCAGUCUCUCUUAUUCUCGUCUCUGUGCUUAUUCCAUCUUCCAUCAAGGACAACAAUGGCUUCGAAAGGAAAUUCAAAGUACUAUUUCAGGCCAAGUGAACCCCAGAGGUUGAGGCUACGUAUCAACCAUGGGGGUAGAUUUAUCAUCUUCCCUGUCAAAUUGUAUGUUGAGGGUCUAGUUUAUGAGAUGGAUGAAGCGUUUGAUGUUGAUUUUGCGAACUAUAAAGACUUUAGAGCAGAAGUGCUACAUCUUGGGUAUGCCAACUUCAAGUGUUUGUGGUACCACCAUCCAAAGCUAUCAUUUCAGACUGGACUUAAGCCUCUAAACACUGAUGGUGACGUCUUAUAGUUAAUUUCAGAUGCAAAAGGGAAGACACAAUAUCUGGCCACUUACUCCCACAUUGUGCUACCCUCAAAUGGACCAAGACUAUGGCCAGUGACAAAUACUGAGUACAUUAAUCCACCACUAAUGAGAAGGGCACCAGGAAGGCCAAAAAAGUUAAGGAACAAAUCCAAUAAUAAGGAAAGAAAACCUGGUGUGCUGCCAAGACAAUUGAAGACAGUCAAAUGCAAAAAAUGUCACAAGUAUGGACUUAACACAAGGACAUUUAAGGGCAAAAGCGCUGCUGACAGGUAGAUUCCCAAGGGAGGAAACAAGUAGAAGACAACAAGCAAGGCUAGCUCUAGUGGACAGCAGAAAAACAAGAAAUAGAAAACAACUGCUAAUGAAGUUGAGGUUGUUGUUUCUCAGGGAUCACAGACUACACAACCAUCUCAAAAUUAGAUGAUACUUAGGCCUUUUAUUUUGGUGUUUUGACUGUUAAAUCUAAUAUUUUUCUGUAAUGAAAAUUAGUCCAUAUUUUGGUGUAGUAAUGACAAGUAGAUCACAGUCAAGUUAUGUUUUGGUGUAAUGACAAUUCAGCAUAUAUUGCUGUCAUGACAAUUAUGUUUUGCUAUAUAAUGGUUGUUUAUGUAAUGACAAUUAUCCUUCUUUA